UCAUGUUCUUUCUAUUUGUAUGACAAAAUAAAUGAGUCAAAUUCACGGAUUGGACUUGAAUUGGUUUCUACUUAGAAAUGAAUUCUAAGUCCAAGUUAAGAACAAAAUGACUUCGGUUCUCUAUCAGAAUUCCUCUUUAACAAGGAAUUGUCACAGUUCAUAAAUAUACAAUUUUUUUACAUGGACAAUUACAGUGUGUAUAUUGCAUGUACUAAAAAGUAUUUUAUGACAUUUUACUUACAGCACUCUGCUCUUAAAUUAGAUCCUUACAACCACUCUUUUCACUUCUUCUGUUUUACAUUGGUCUUAUUUAGAUUGCCCUUCAAUUGGCACAAGUGCCAAUUCAGUUUAAAAUUUUGCUUCAAAACGGAUGACAUCGUCACUUUCAUCGCAAUCCAAACCGCACAAGGAUAUUUGUUCAUUGAUUAGAGGAUAAAUCUGUGUCAGCUGAUCUAUCCCUCUACAUUUUGUUAAUUUUAUUUUGUAAGAGAUUUUCAGCAUAAAAUGAUUUUGUGGUCUUAAUAUAUUGACUUGCAACAUAACUUACCAUAAAAUGUUAAAAAUUAAAAUUAAGGGAACUAAAUUUCGACUAGCUUUCUGAGAAUUACACAAUAAAUUCCACCGAUAAAAAUAGACUUAAAAUUUGUCAAUAUUUGCAGAAUAAGAGGGAGUUCAAAACCCGGCGGACAGGGUGUUUGAGCUGUGAGGUGCCAAAAUUUUAAGGCUCAGUCUGGUAAUGAACAGAAGUUUCUAUUCGACAAUAAAAACACACACUUCUUGUCUAUAAAGGAGUUCUUACGCAAAAAAGUGAGGUGCGCAUAAAGGCAGUUCCAAAAAGGCUCAGACUAACACUGGAAUUGAAAAACUGGGCGACUCAUAAAGCUGAUGAAAUUCUUUUGGGAUGUUCAAUCUUUAUGAAAAAGAGGCUCUCUGAUUUUUCUAUCGAUUAUUUACAAAAAAUAUCAUUAAAAUAGAGUCACUCCCAGUUCUUACCAUUUCUAGCUUUCCCAACAUCAAGCCAUCAUAGCUCUUAUGGACAGCGCUUCCUAUUCAUAGCUCUGAUGGACAGCACUUUCUUCAGAAAGGAAUAUGAUCAGCCUUUUUCUGAUUACCCUUUUUCCUCUGGCUGUGGUCAAAUAACUUGAACUCCUCUUACUAAAGAAAUGUAUGCAUUUAAUGAUAAUAUUACAUAAAGUUUUUUAUUUGUUUACAGGUCCGAAUUCAAUUCGGAUUUAUACAAUGAUUAGUUCAAACACCCUGUAGAAAACGCAGAGUACCAUUAUUAAAACCAUAUAAUCAUAGAUUUCAUAUGAAUGACUCAAAUUAACAUUUAAAAUGGACCUAAAAAAAUUUAAUAAGAAAUAAAACUAUGAUAAGUCUCCACUCUUCAAUCUUGUACUUAGCCAACCUGAAAAGUAAGAAAAAAGUGGAGAUAAAGAAUUAUGAGAGUGAUCUGACACAGUGCAAGGAUAUGUACGCACUAUCUAUCUGUCUAAUAAGGUACAUAAAAAUGCAAAAGCAAAUUUAAUUUUCAAGUUGACCUCAACAUUCUCUGGUAUCCCUUUCCAAAUUAAGAUUUCCAGAAAUUCUUGUUCCAACGGUCAAAAAAACUCACGACAGAGAAAAAUUGAGCACAUUCAAGUUUUUUUUCUUGUAAAUCCAUGAUUUUUUAACCCCUCAUACAUAGGUAGAUUCACCUUACCCUUCCUGAAAACUUUGUUUCAUGCAUAAAAAAGUGUUUGCAGUAAAAAUAGCGGAUGUCACAUUUUUUUCAAAUCGCUGUUAUUCCUUCAAUUUUUCACUUACAUAGAUCGUAAAACGUGUGAUUUUACCGGAAGAGUUGCUCUUUAUGAAAAUCUUAAUAAGAAUCCUCUCGCUUCUGCCGGCAGAAAAGUGCAAGGCUUCAAAAACUUCAAACGCGAUUUUCUCACAAUGUGAAAACUCGACAUCCGCUACUGUUACAGAUAAGUCCUCAUAUGCGAAAAAAAGUUUGCAAGAUUAUAGGUUCAUUUAGAGUAUGUUUUCUUGCGUCUCUCCCCCCUCCCCCUAAGUUGAUUGCCAGCCACUAAGAAAACCUGCCUUUAAACACAAGAAAUUUGAAAAAAGGUCUUGAAAACUACGCAGAUCGCGCACUCAAAAGUGGAUUUCAGACAUUUUUGAAGUUUCCUAGAAUUUGCCAAAUUUUAUUUGUAGAAAGUCUAUUCAUUCACCUGUUCCGCCAUCCUGAGGAAAAAUGCCGCAUAAACAAUCGAUUGUUGCCAAAUUUUCCGUGCUAAAAAAUUUAUUUUGAAAGACAGGUAUGCAUAUUUUUCCUUAAAAUUUUCAGAUAUUUUAGAUUGAAUCGCUGACAAAAUUGGCUGAAAAAUUAAAAGAAAGUAUUCACAGCUUUAAACGGCAUUUUUCCUCAGCAAAGCAGUAUAUCUAUGGCGAGCACUAGACCCAUUAAGAGACUGGAAUAAGUACAAGCAAUUCACCUUCAAUUUCGUUUAAGUAGGAAUCUUAGGCUCAGAUGUAAAAGAAGCUUAGGAGACCUGAAAUCUCAUGAGUUUUCUGGUACUGCCUUUGUGGCUAAUGAACAUCCAAAUGAAAAUAAAUUGCCUAGACAGAAAGAACCCACUAGAGUCAAAUUCAUGUUCAUUUUAGCUCUUUCAAAGCCAAAAUCUUUGGAUGAAAGUGCGUAAAAAUAAAUAAUACAUGCAACUUACCCUGGUAGACAAAAGGGAUUAUACAUUGUUGAAGUCACAAAUGAUUCUACGCUGGGGUUCAGGAGUGUAGUGGAAUCGUGCCUGCAGACACUGUGGACUCGUUGGCACUGAGUUACAUUCUGAUAUUCUCCUAGGAGGUGGAAUGGGUGGUGUUGGGGUCACGUAUCUGAGAAAUUGGAAAAAACAUACUAUCAAAAUAAAAGAAUAUAGCAGCUAGCCAUGAAAGCUUAGUUAUUAGAUUUCAUGGAGAUCAGAGCAAGUUGAACUUGAUUCAACUUGCAGAUCGAUUAAUAUUAACAACAUAUUGACGUAUCUCCAUUGUGGUGUUUCAAAAUUUCUGGUCUCAUUCAAUUGUUUCGAAGAGAAAUAUGCCAACUUCGUAGCUUGAAAUUUACAUGGAAUAUUCUGCUGAUAGAGAAGAAAAAACAAGGCAGUUUUCAAGAAAUUAUAUAGACUAAUUUUUCGAAAAGAAAAUAAGGAAUGGCAGAAAGUCUGCAACAUCGCAAACAGAGAUACGUGGAUUUGCACUUUCGCCAUCGACAUUGACAGUUACACGUAGGAGAUAUAGAAAAUUGAGUAAACUUUUAAUGAAUAAAAUUGCAUGUAAAUUACAUUGGGGACAUCAGAAAAGUCUGAAUUACACUCCAAAACGCACAAUUAGGAUGAUCAUCAUCCAAUUUCAAAUGCACGAGUCGAAAGUUUUUUGCCUUUGUGCUCAGUUGUCAACUAGGAUUCCUUAAAGGGACGUAGG
rnacentral:lncRNA from 1 species